CAGCAGCCGCGGGAAUACGAAGGGUGCAAGCGUUACUCGGAAUUACUGGGCGUAAAGCGUGUGUAGGUGGUUGUUUAAGUCUGUCGUGAAAGCCCUGGGCUCAACCUGGGAAUUGCGAUGGAUACUGGGCGACUAGAGUGCGGUAGAGGAUAGUGGAAUUUCCGGCGUAGCAGUGAAAUGCGUAGAGAUCGGAAGGAACAUCUGUGGCGAAGGCGACUAUCUGGGCCAACACUGACACUGAGACACGAAAGCGUGGGGAGCAAACGGGAUUAGAUACCCCAGUAGUCCCUGUCUCUUAUAC
rnacentral:rRNA from 1 species